AUUCUGUGAUGAUUGGACCGCCGCGUCCGCCACCGUCACAAGAUUCGGACUCUGAGGAAGAAGAGGAGGAGGAUAAUCGGUAUCGGAUUCCUAUGAGUAAUGAGAUUGUGCUCAAGAGCCAUUCUAAGAUUGUGUCAGCUCUCGCUGUUGAUCACACUGGGUCUAGAGUUCUUUCUGGGAGUUACGACUAUACAGUACGCAUGUAUGAUUUCCAAGGGAUGAAUUCACGUUUGCAAUCAUUUAGGCAGCUCGAACCAUUUGAAGGUCAUCAAGUUCGUAAUUUAAGCUGGAGCCCAACUGCAGAUCGUUUUUUGUGUGUGACUGGUUCUGCUCAAGCUAAGAUAUAUGACCGUGAUGGACUUACAUUAGGUGAGUUUGUAAAAGGGGACAUGUAUAUUCGUGAUUUGAAGAACACCAAAGGCCACAUAUCUGGGUUGACUGGAGGAGAGUGGCAUCCUAAAACUAAGGAAACUAUUUUGACAUCAUCAGAGGAUGGAUCAUUGCGUAUAUGGGAUGUAAAUGAUUUCAAAAGUCAAAAGCAGGUCAUCAAACCAAAGCUUGCUAGGCCGGGAAGAAUUCCAGUUACAGCAUGUGCCUGGGACUGUGAAGGAAAAUGCAUCGCUGGUGGCAUUGGAGAUGGUUCUAUACAGAUAUGGAACCUCAAGCCUGGAUGGGGAAGCAGGCCAGAUGUGUAUCUUGAGAAAGCCCAUUCUGAUGAUAUUACUGGUCUUAAAUUUUCCAGCAAUGGACGAUUUCUACUUUCAAGAAGCUUUGAUGGCUCACUUAAGGUUUGGGAUUUGCGAAAAACAAAAGAUUCUCUAAGGGCUUUUGAGGAUCUUCCAAAUCACUAUGCUCAAACAAAUAUAGCAUUUAGUCCUGAUGAGAAGCUCUUCUUGACUGGAACAUCUGUUGAAAGGGAGAGCACAACUGGAGGUUUGUUGUGCUUUUAUGAUCGGGAAAAACUUGAUCUUGUUUCCAGGGUUGGAAUUUCCCCAACUUGCAGUGUUGUGCACUGCAUGUGGCACCCAAAACUAAAUCAGAUCUUUGCAACAUCUGGAGAUAAAAGCCAAGGUGGAACUCACAUAUUAUAUGAUCCAACACUUAGUGAGAGGGGAGCUCUUGUCUGUGUUGCUCGGGCACCUCGGAAAAAAUCUGUGGAUGAUUUUGAGGCACAACCUGUUAUUCAUAACCCUCAUGCACUACCCUUAUUUAGAGAUCAGCCAAGCCGUAAGCGUCAGCGAGAGAAGAUAUUGAAGGAUCCCAUUAAGUCCCGUAAGCCUGAGCUUCCAAUAACAGGACCAGGUCAUGGUGGGAGAGUUGGGGCAAGUAAAGGAAGCUUGUUGACCCAGUAUCUACUUAAGCAAGGAGGAAUGAUCAAGGAGACAUGGAUGGAGGAAGAUCCAAGAGAAGCUAUAUUGAAGUAUGCUGACGUUGCAGCAAAAGAUCCCAAGUACAUUGCUCCAGCAUAUUCACAAACCCAGCCUGAACCAGUUUUUGCAAAAUCAGAUUCUGAGGAUGAAGAAAAGUAAUCUGAUCAUCUUGUUUCAUUUGCUGUUUGCAGCCUGGUAAUGGAUCUCAUGGUAUUUUCUCUGUGGGAGGGCUCAGCUGUUCAUGUAGUAACAGUAGAAUAUUGACACAUCUAAGGAAGUUAUAUUGUGCCACUACCCUUGCCAAGAAUUGGUAGCUCAAUUUUCUUUGCUGUUUAUUUGUGGGUGAGAUCAGAUCUUUGCCAUCUCUUCAGUAAGUUCAACAGCAGAAGGCAUUGAAGAAGAAAUAAUGAAAUAUGCUGAAAGUUAUCAUCAUAGCUUACAAUUGGUGAUAGUUAAAAUAGGAGAAUUUCUGAUGUAUUUUUCGAAGUUCUGAUCUCAGUAACAUGGACAGGGCUAAAAUGUAGAUGAGCACCAAUCUCAUAAUCUAUGUAUCAUAGUCUGCUUCUCUGCUGUAGAUUUGUCGAAAGCUGCCAACUGGUGCCUAAAGAAGUUGUGCUCUCUGAGUUGGGACAUCUUCAGCUUGAUGUGGUGUUCAAUCUUCACUACCCUUGUAAUGCUGUAUAAUUUGCCAUUUUAUUGGUUCCAACUGAUCCUCGAGAAUUAGUCUCUUCUUGCUUGUAAUAAAAGAUAUGCUAGAUGAAGGUAAUGUUUCCCAAAGUUGGGUGCAGAAUCAACCUGUUAUUAUUAC
rnacentral:misc_RNA from 1 species